UGCUGCAAGUGAUUUCAGAAGAUAAUAGCAGCCUUCACAGAUCUCAAUGAACUGAAGUUAUAUUUUCAUAUAUAUGUACAUAUGCAUACAUUUUAGAGAACAUAUAAAGCAUAAUAUGAGCCAUGCCUGCUCAGAGAGGAGGUGUGCAUAUGGUGCGUGUCCUGUUGGGCCUGUUAGCAGCUGGUGUGUCACAGAGGUGCCUAUUCAAGUGCAGACGAAAUGAUCCUUGUGUCGUGUAUGUUAUCUUUCUUAGGACAAAGUGUCCAGCUGGAAAGGCUUCAGCUAUUCAGGAGGAGGCCUUGACUGCUGCACUUGAGCUCCAGACGCGACCGAAACACGGACCUCUCUUCAGAUAAAGGUACUUCUGUAGUACGCUCAGCUGCGUGUGUUUUAUCUUGUGGUCUGAAGGUGUCCUUUAUUUUUCCCCUCUGUCUCGUGCCUCUACGCUUUCUAUCUUCCCAGUUCUAGAAAUCUUAUGUAAAAAUAUUGGAAAAUAAACUUACUGUAGGAUAUGAAGUACUUAGCCUGCAAAAGAAGCAGCAACCAAGCCUGUGCAAAUGGUCUCCUGGUAGCGUAGGUUUUAAUGGUGUAGAUGUAUGCAGGUGAAGGGGACGCUUCGAAGGAUAAGCUUCUGUAAAAAGGUGAAUUUUGCACUCUUUAUAACCUUCCCUCCUGCCCCCCCCCCCUUUUUUUUAUCUUCUGCUAGAAGAUUAUCCUUUUUCAAGGGUCCUGACAGUUAGUAAGGCCUGGUCGUGACUGCUGUGCAAUGCUACUGUCUGUCUCGUGGGUGUCUUGGCAUUAACAUAGCUCCUUACUCCAAAGGAUCUUAAAGAAUCAGGUGGGGGUCUAGAAACAGGACGACGAAAGAGGCUUUGAUCGUUCUUGUGGUAGAUGGAUAGAAAAUCCAGCUCUGCUUCAGUUGUGCAUGUUGUUCAGCAGAAGCUUAGCUCUUACUGAUGUUCAGGUUAGCAGGAGGAAUGACUGGUGCUCAUCCUGUAGAUACUGCAUGUGUCAGGGUUGGUAGGUCUGGAAGGGACUGGGCCAAUAAACAUGACGUAAAAUAGAUAAUUUAUUUGUUUCUUGACAGUCCAAUCCUACCCACGGAGCAGGCUCCCAGUAAUACCCCGGUUCUUGGCACUGCUCUGGCAGCUGGAGCAUGGAUCCUCUCAACGGAGGAGAGAAUCCCGGUCUUGGCUUGCUCUGCUAAGUGUUACCAUAUUUCUUCUAACUUCCAUUUCCUCUGGGCUGAGUUUCAGCUAAGGUUUUUUUUCUUCCAGAUGCUUAUAUCUCACAGGCAUUCGGUUACUUGUGAUGGAGCUCGUUGAACCAGCUGCGAAGGUGGUGUAUGUUCAAACACGGAUGUCAACUUGGUAGCAUUGGAAACUGUAGUCCCAGAUCUUGAAAUAGAGGAGGAGCAAGUGAUUGCAGCACUUCACACAUCCCUGUGGACAGUAAAAAUCACCGUCUGUUCUCUACAGUCUAUUCAAAAGGAAAACUAUAGUGAACUAAUAGUAUACCACCCCCUUCAGCUGUGUCUUAUUUGGGGUUAAGUAAUAUGUAUGGCAUUGAAAAACACAGAUCAAGCCCUAUUUAUCUUGGAGAGCUGUUUGUCCUCAGCCAUAGAUUGUUCACAGCGUUCAACAAAUGUCGUUAAAGGGUCCUCCGCCCUACUGUAUGAGCAGCGUGGCAUGCAACAUGGAAUAAGUGUGCUAAUACACACUAAUAAUACAAUGAAAUAUUAAUACCAAACCCUGACCUUUGUUUCCUGAGCAGAUUGGAAGGGCUGUUGUCUCCUGUCGAUGUGGUUUCUCCUGUGAUGCUCUGCCUGUGGGAGGUUGCUGGCAGCAUGGGGAUAAAUCGAGGAGAAUCAUUUCACCGCCCGUGCUAACAGCCAACAGGGGCAGGAGUACGUGGCUGUCGACGUUGCCUUCAAAUACGGGCGUCUUGGUUAGAGGAGCAGUUGAGCUCCAACGGACCCCGAAGUGCCCAGGUAUCAGUUUACCCACAUAACGUGAAUCUCCUGAAUACCUUGUCGGGAGACCAGAUUUGGGCUCCCUCACUGCUUUUUCCUAAAUCGCUUUGUGCUUUCUCUAUACUGACAAUGCUCGAAAGCACGUGCAGAGCUGUGAGAGCUCAAACGGCUUCCAAGCGUUGGUCACACAAACGGCGAAUGUUUGCUAUUCUGGACGUUAACUUCAUAAAAUUAAUCUAACGCAUCUUGAGGGAAAUUAGUGCAUGCAGAUGCUAUCAUUUAUCACAAUUAUUUUAAAAGCCCUAAUCUCGCACUUCAUAGGAUUCUCCACCUCCACUUGCAUGUCAAGGGCUGCAAGAGGGUGCGUUUGCACGUGGAAACGCUGCAGCCUUUAAUCCGCCUGGCUGGGAGGAGCAGCCGUGGAGUAGGCAGUGGGCAGGCUCGCCCAGCGUGGAAGGAAGAGCCGUCCGUUUAACGCGCUAAUCCCCAGCGAGGCUGAGCAGGCGCAGGGGCAGGCACGCGGGGCAAGGCAGAGGGUUGUGGCUUAGGUCAUUUACCUAAUGACCGCCAUGAGUUCAUGGCGGUUACAGGACGAGUAGCAGGGCAAUAACGAAAGGCGAUCCACAGCUUGCACCAGCAGCAUGGACAAAAGCAGAUGUGUGCACCGUGCCACCACCCGAAGAGCAGGUGCACGGUGUUUCAACUACGCACCGAGGGAAAGCAAAGCCCCAUAAUCUCCUGUCUUUUGUUUUUAGGUUAUUGUAUUAAUUUUCAAGUUUGCUUUGAUAAUCUGAGCUUGCAUGGAAAGUGCCUGUCGGUGGACUGGCAGCAGUGAGUGCGUGCACGAGACAGAGACCGCUGCCCUGGAGAAGCAUCUCGCGUUCAGAAGGCCCGACAACCUUACCUUAAGGGUGACCCUUGGUUGAUGCUUUGAAGCUGGGCAAGAGGUGGGCAGCCAUUAUUUGACUGUUGAACCCUACUCUGCAAGCACUCUUGAAGAAAUAAAAAUGAAUCUGUCUUGCUAGUAUGCUUAAAAGCAAAGAUCAGAAGAGACUUUAAAAAUGAAUUAUUUGGCAUGAUCAGUUGACCUGGAAUGGUAAAAUCAGCACCCAGGAAGAUCAAAGUUGGUCUCCAAAAUCCUAAAAACUCUAAUUGACGUAGCAGUGACGGAUGCUGCUGCUUUAGGCCUUGUUCCAGCAAAGCACUUAAGCAUGGACUUAACUUGGAGCUGGGAGGAGUCCCAUUGGCUUCAGAGGAGCUCUGGACUGGGUUAAGUGCUUUCCCGUGUGGACAAAUUAGCAGAUUUGUUUCAGUUGCAGCUCUGGAUCCCUUCUCUGAGGUCAUAUUGGAUUUCCACCUGUCAAUCCCUGUUGAUCUAACUUGUGCCAACGUGUUAUUUGCAUUACCAACACGCUACAUGUGGGAAUGGAUGGUCCCUUUUGAAAUUACAGCUCACAGAGAGACUCUAGAAGCAAUAGUACAAAAAUGAAGAAGGUUGGAAACCAAAUUAAAGAACAAGUUGCUAACGUUCCUCAAAAAUGCAUGUUUUUACCGAAAUGACAUGUUUUGUGAUGGUAUUUAAUUUGUAUUUGAUUAUUACCUAACUUGGGAAGAAAUGUUCUGAAGAUGUUGAGCAGAAGUCGCUCAACUUUCUUCAUAAAGAUAAAUUCCUUAUUUAGAAUCGCAGAAUUUUAUACUCUGAAGUAUAAAAUUCCAGGAGAAUCCUUAGCAAAAGUCACUACUCUACACUUCUUGCCUUUAAGGCUAUCCCAUAACUGUGUUUAACUAAUCAGUGCUCCGGAACUUCCAGAUGCAACAGAUAAAGGAUUUGUAAACGAUUUCCCUAUCUACAUCUUAAUUUCAUAGCAACAGCUAUGUAAUUUAUGGGAUUCCAUGCAGAAUAGCAGGGCUAAUGAUGAGCAAAUGCUUUUUUGAAGUUGUACCACAUAUAAGCUGUUGUGUAUGGUAAAAGAGAUGAAAACAGACCUCUUCUGAGACCCAAAGCUUCUGCCCUUUUCCCACAAACGCUGGCAAAGGCCGAGGCAGCGAAGCAGCGCUCUGGAGAGCUCGGAGUCGACCUCAGAGGUUGUCCCCGCAACGGCGAGGGAGCUUGGGGCUGGCCGGGCAGCCAGGCCACCUCCGGUGUAUUAAGGCACUGACAGUAACAUAUUUGUAGACAUUUCCCAAAUCCUCAUUAAAUACCUUAUCUUCUGGAAACGUAUCUAAUUUCCUAGGAUCUUUUCUGUCUUCAGUGAGUAUGAGGCACAGAGUUCACUGGUGCUUAUAAAAAAAAAAAAAUUUUUUUUUGUAUCUACAAAAGAGCGUGUAAAUGCUUAAGGUAAAACUAAUUUCUGCUAGAAAUGUCUCCAGUUUCUUUUGUAAUUAAAUCUACUGGGCUAAUUUUCUAUUCAGACAUGCUGGUAUCAAAACAACGUAGCCAAAUGCAGAACAUGGAAAACCUCUAGAGUGGAGAGGAAUUGAGUUUCUUCAGUUUCCAUCACUGUGACGAUAAUAGGUGAAGUGAACCUUUUUCACAGCCCUGGAUUGACACGCAGGUGCAUGUCGUCAUGGAGGAACUGCUAAGAAACCUGCCUGCCUGCUCCUGCAAAGCGAGGAAAACCUGCCCCUGGGAGUGUGCCAUGUGCCCUCGGCCCUCACCAGCCUUUCCCGUGGGAAUCCCUUUGCCUGCUGGAGUCCGCUUCCCUCAGAAACCCUUCGCAGUGCCUGUUAGCCUUUGAGGGUUGACCUACUGGAAAGCAGCUCUGCAGAGAAAGACCUGGGAGUC